GCGUUGUCCGGAAUUACUGGGCGUAAAGGGCGUGUAGGCGGCCAUAACAGUCAGUGGUGAAAACCGGCGGCUUAACCGCCGGCCUGCCAAUGAAACUAUAUGGCUUGAGGACAGGAGAGGGAAGUGGAAUUCCCAGUGUAGCGGUGAAAUGCGUAGAUAUUGGGAGGAACACCAGUGGCGAAGGCGACUUCCUGGCCUGGACCUGACGCUGAGGCGCGAAAGCGUGGGGAGCAAACAGGAUUAGAUACCCUGGUAGUCCACGCUGUAAACGAUGAGUGCUAGGUGUUGUGGGUAUCGACCCCCUCAGUGCCGCAGUUAACGCGAUAAGCACUCCGCCUGGGGAGUACG
rnacentral:rRNA from 2 species